rnacentral:rRNA from 1 species
CCUACGGGAGGCAGCAGUGGGGAAUAUUGCGCAAUGGGCGAAAGCCUGACGCAGCGACGCCGCGUGAGGGAUGAAGGUCUUCGGAUCGUAAACCUCUGUCAGCAGGGAAGAACGGUCACUGUGCUAAUCAGCAGUGAAUUGACGGUACCUGCAAAGGAAGCACCGGCUAACUCCGUGCCAGCAGCCGCGGUAAUACGGAGGGUGCGAGCGUUAAUCGGAAUUACUGGGCGUAAAGCGCUCGUAGGCGGUAUGUCAAGUCAAGGGUGAAAUCCCCGCGCUCAACGUGGGAACUGCCUUUGAAACUGGCAAACUGGAGUGUGUGAGAGGGUAGUGGAAUGCCAGGUGUAGGAGUGAAAUGCGUAGAGAUCUGGAGGAACAUCAGUGGCGAAGGCGACUAUCUGGCACAUAACUGACGCUGAGGAGCGAAAGCGUGGGUAGCAAACAGGAUUAGAUACCCUAGUAGUC